GAGAUUAGACCCUCUCCGUCCUAGUCAACGGCUUGUUGACGUGGACGCCCUUGACCACGCAGCCUGUCCAGCUGACCAUCAUGGUCAGUGACCAGCUCUCCAGCUCCCUGUUCACCCCCAUCCUGCGCGUCUGCAACUGCCUCAACGGAGGCUCCUGCCAGUACGACAGCAUCACCGAAAACCACCAGAAGGGAACUUUCCAGGUGCGUUUUUUUUUUUAAUUCGCUGCAACCAUUUUCCCUUUAUUCAUCUCCUGAGGGGAAUCAGCAGUGCUGUUCAUUGUUCGUCCCUCACAGGUGGUGGCCUGCUUGUGCCCCAAGGGAUUCAGUGGGAAGUUCUGUGGCCAAGUCGCAGACGUGUGUCGAGGCCAGCCGUGUUUCCGAGGGGUGCGGUGCCGGCGGGACCCCGAGCCCGGCCAGUUCACCUGUGAGGGGUGUCCCGACAACACCUUCCCGGCGGGAAAAGAGGGAUACAAGUGCUUUGAGCACGACAUGUGCAGCCCUCCUUUCCCCUUCCCCUGCCACAAAGACGCCGUCUGCCUCAGCACGAGGCAAAACUUCACCUGCACGUGUAAAACGGGCUUCACUGGCGACGGACAUAACUGCACAGGUGCUGAGCACCCACGACUUCAGUGUGAAUGACGGCACGGUUCGUUCACAGCGUUUUAAUGGUCCUCUCCUCAUUGCAGAUAUAGACGAGUGUGCAGAGCUCACAACCUGCGGCAAUGCCAAGUUUGAGUGCAGGAACGGGCCCGGCUCCGUCGCCUGCCUCUGCAGAUACCGGAGGAGCAAGGACACGGACGGGUGUGGUGACUCGGCCAAUCCUCCAGGGUGUAACGUGUUCAACGUCUCUGUGGGCUGGGCGAAGAGCACACCUGAUGGACUCCAGCGGCUGGUGGACCUUCUGUCAAUGGGCUUCCAGAACAAAUUCUACAACGCCAGCCAGAGGGAUGGCGUGCAGGGCUCCCGGCCGGAUGUGACAGAGUAUCGCAUCAACGUGUCCAGCGACACACCCCACUGGUACAUCAGAGACUACAUGGCCAGAGUCAGUAGCCUCUACUCAAUGAGUACCGUAGAAGUUGACGGUAAACUACCAAUUCUUUUCCUAACUCAACUUCAGCAUAUUGACUGA
ensembl:lncRNA